rnacentral:rRNA from 1 species
CGGGACGGGCGAGUAACGCGUGGAUAACCUGCCUCACACUGGGGGAUAACAGUUAGAAAUGGCUGCUAAUACCGCAUAAGCGCACAGUACCGCAUGGUACGGUGUGAAAAACCCAGGUGGUGUGAGAUGGAUCCGCGUCUGAUUAGCCAGUUGGCGGGGUAACGGCCCACCAAAGCGACGAUCAGUAGCCGACCUGAGAGGGUGACCGGCCACAUUGGGACUGAGACACGGCCCAA